rnacentral:tRNA from 1 species
AUCUUUCUAGUACUAACUUCAGUAUGAGUGAUUUCCAACCACUCGGUCUUGGUUAAAAUCCAAGGAAAGAUA